CAAGGAAUUUUCCCCAAUGGGCGCAAGCCUGAGGGAGCAACGCCGCGUGCAGGACGACGGCUUUCGGGUUGUAAACUGCUUUUGCGUGGGACGAUAACGACGGUACCACGCGAAUAAGCCCCGGCUAACUCUGUGCCAGCAGCCGCGGUAAUACAGAGGUCCCGAGCGUUGUUCGGAUUCACUGGGCGUAAAGGGUGUGUAGGAGGCUUGGAAAGUCAGCUGUGAAAUCUCACUGCUCAACGGUGAAACUGCAGCUGAUACUCCCGAGCUAGAGGAUCGGAGGGGCAAGCGGAAUUCCAGGUGUAGCAGUGAAAUGCGUAGAUAUCUGGAGGAACACCGGUGGCGAAGGCGGCUUGCUAGACGAUUCCUGACUCUGAAACACGAAAGCUGGGGGAGCAAACGGGAUUAGAUACCCCCGUAGUCC
rnacentral:rRNA from 1 species